GUUGUCUGACCGCACAGAAAGUGGGUCCCAUCACGCGCGCUAGCAGUUCGCACACACACCUUACCCAAGCACCGCCGUGCACCACGCGCCUUAGAUCUUCUGCCGCCGCCGCCAUUGAAGGUGGAGACCGUGGCCAGCAACUUGGUUCAACGAAAUCGCUAAUACAGGCGCCGCCGCACGCCUCUUCCGGUCCCCCCUUAGUUAGUAUCUUCCCCUGAGGCUUCGCCUCUCCUCCUCAUUCACCGAUCCAUCGGGAGAGCGCUGUCAUCACGGCUGCCACUGCAAUGGGUCCGCUGGAGUUCUCGUCGGAGUCUGAGGCGGCAACCCUGGACGACUUCUUCAUCUCCAGAAUCUUCAGCGACGAGCACGACAAUGAGCCGUGGAUCCCCGCGCUCGCCGGAAUCAUCUGCCGACAACACGCCUCCAGCAAGCGCAAACUUGAUCGAAGUCCGCUUCAUCCACCAGGCAUUCAAGAAUGGAUAUCCUAGAAUGGCAUUGGCUGAAGGAGCUUACUACUGACAUUAGCUUGGCAGGUGGAUGCUGUUGUAACGGAGCUACUGAGAUAGAUAAUGGCAAAUGGCCACUUGUCUAGGUCAACACAUCUCCAAGCUUAUGGAAAAUUCAAAUAAUAGGCAUCUGAUUGAAACUUGGAGAGAAAUGCAGCAUUGUGGACAUCUCCAAGUGGAUCAAACGAUGACUGAUGGAGUGGUUCUGCUGCCUCUCCAGGGACUCUCAGCCUUGUGGGCUAUCGUACUUCCGUUUCGGGGGAAUUCGGGCAUCAGUUGUGUUCUGACGAUUUUUUUGAGAUCUGACGGAACAUGCUAGCAGUAGUGAUACAUGUUGUGCUCCAAAUAAUCAAUGAGAAAAACAACUACAAGUAGAGUAAGUUUACUCACAAUUAUCCCAUGAUGUUGUUUGCUCAAGGAUAGCACAAUAUACUGUAUGCUCAAAUAAGCUUGCUCAGGGAUAACACAAUAUAUGAUCAAACAAGCUUCCUGUUACAUGAUGUUGUUUGCUCAAGGAUAAUAAAAUUUAUGGCGUUGUUAAUUUUGUAGCACAGUAGGAAAAUUUGUCAGUAUUAACUGAUGAGUCUGCAAGUUCAUUCUAAGGGAAAGGAUUUCUAUUAUAAAAUGUAAUUCUUGAUUUACAAGUGUAUAUUGUUUCUUAAGACUAAAUUUUGCAUUUAUUUGGUCCGGGAAAUUGGUUGGUUGCAUUCUGUGUAGAGCUUGCUGUAAAUUUGGAUCAUUCGCAUUCUUCCAAUACAAAUUAGCUACUUCUAUAAUAUUCCAUUACUCAUCUAAUAAGAAGAAAAUAAGCCGAACUUUCUAUUUGUUAGGGCUGAGUUCAAAACCUGGACAAGAUGUCUACGACUGUACCACACAAUAUAUAUACAGACCAAAUUCAUUGCUAUCGUGCUUUGUGAAUUUUUACUUCUUGCCAACCUACAAUUGACUACUUACUAUGAUUUCUUUCCAUUACACACAUGUAAAAUCUGCCACUGGACUAUUAUUCUUCGCUGAUAUAGGAAGUGUCAAGUGCUUCAGAUUUUAUGUGGUGACCAUUGGAUGUCAAUUGCAAUGUUGGUUCUGUGAGGAUCUGGCACGAGCCUAGGGAAUCAAGUUCACUCCAAUGCAGAAAAACAAGGGAAAAUGCAGCUCAAGGUAAAUCAACUCAGAAGUUUUAGUACCUCUAGAUUUCCUAGGCUCCUUUAAUGCAGUGACGAAGACUGUAACUAUGAAAUAUGAAGACAAUGAAGUUUCCUAUAUCAAUGAACUUGAGUAUAUAAAUUGUGAAUAUGGGCUAAUGUCUGGCAGGUUAGAGUUGAUAAGCAGUAUAUAUAACCAUAUUGCUUUCACAUAAUAUGUUGGUCAAAGUCUCAAGGACCAGAACAUUUUUCAUUUCCAUAUCUUAGAGCUGCCACAGUGCUCCCUGGCGUCUAUUAAAAUGCUUUGUCUGGAAAAUAAUGUGGACGAGGUUAACAAACUGUAUAUGGAUUUGACUCAACUUUUACUGUGAUGUAACGAAGUUUUAUCAUGCAUUUCC